rnacentral:rRNA from 1 species
CCUAGGGGAGGCUGCAGUGGGGAAUAUUGGACAAUGGGGGCAACCCUGAUCCAGCCAUGCCGCGUGUGUGAAGAAGGCCCUCGGGUUGUAAAGCACUUUCAGUGAGGAAGAACGCCUGGUGGUUAAUACCCAUCAGGAAAGACAUCACUCACAGAAGAAGCACCGGCUAACUCCGUGCCAGCAGCCGCGGUAAUACGGAGGGUGCGAGCGUUAAUCGGAAUUACUGGGCGUAAAGCGCGCGUAGGUGGCUUGAUAAGCCGGUUGUGAAAGCCCCGGGCUCAACCUGGGAACGGCAUCCGGAACUGUCAAGCUAGAGUGCAGGAGAGGAAGGUAGAAUUCCCGGUGUAGCGGUGAAAUGCGUAGAGAUCGGGAGGAAUACCAGUGGCGAAGGCGGCCUUCUGGACUGACACUGACACUGAGGUGCGAAAGCGUGGGUAGCAAACAGGAUUAGAUACCCUAGUAGUC